rnacentral:rRNA from 1 species
UACGUAGGGGGGCAAGCGUUUGUCCGGAAUUAUUGGGCGUAAAGAGCGCGUAGGCGGUCUGAUAAGUCGGUGUGAAAGUCGGGGGGCUCAACCCUCGGAUGCCGAUCGAUACUGUCAGGCUAGAGUCCGGAAGAGGCGAGUGGAAUUCCUGGUGUAGCGGUGAAAUGCGUAGAUAUCGGAAGGAACAUCAGUGGCGAAAGCGGCUUCCUGGUCCAGCACCGACGUUCAGGCACGAAAGCGUGGGGAGCAACAGG